rnacentral:tRNA from 1 species
CCCGCCAUCGUCUAGAGGCCCAGGACGCCGCCCUUUCAAGGCGGAGACCACCGGUUCGAAUCCGGUUGGCGGGA